AGAACGAACGCUGGCGGCAUGCCUAACACAUGCAAGUCGAACGAGACCUUCGGGUCUAGUGGCGCACGGGUGCGUAACGCGUGGGAAUCUGCCCUUGGGUUCGGGAUAACAGUUGGAAACGACUGCUAAUACCGGAUAAUGACUUCGGUCCAAAGAUUUAUUGCCCAGGGAUGAGCCGCGUAGGAUUAGCUAGUUGGUGAGGUAAAGGCUCACCAAGGCGACGAUCCUUAGCUGGUCUGAGAGGACGAUCAGCCACACUGGGACUGAGACACGGCCAGACUCCUACGGGAGGCAGCAGUA
rnacentral:rRNA from 1 species